AGCAGCCGCGGUAAUUCCAGCUCCAAUAGCGUAUAUUAAAGUUGUUGCAGUUAAAAAGCUCGUAGUUGAAUUUCGGGGUUAGCAAGUUGGUCGUGCCUUCGGUAUGUACUGGCUUUGCUGAUUCCUCUUUCUUGAAGAACUGUGAUGCUAUUAAUUUGGUGUUGCAGGGAAACAGGACUGUUACUUUGAAAAAAUUAGAGUGUUUAAAGCAGGCUAACGCUUGAAUACAUUAGCAUGGAAUAAUGAAAUAGGACGUUCGAUCCUAUUUUGUUGGUUUCUAGGAUCAACGUAAUGAUUAAUAGGGAUAGUUGGGGGCAUUAGUAUUCAAUUGUCAGAGGUGAAAUUCUUGGAUUUAUUGAAGACUAACUACUGCGAAAGCAUUUGCCAAGGAUGUUUUCAUUAAUCAAGAACGAAAGUUAGGGGAUCGAAGACGAUCAGAUACCGUCGUAG
rnacentral:rRNA from 1 species